rnacentral:pre_miRNA from 1 species
GCAUGGAUAGGUACAUGGAGCAGCAUGACACCAAGGGCAACUAUUAUGAUGCUUCUGCAAAGAAGUAGGGUUUCGUUGCCCUUUGUGUCAUGCAGCUCCUUGUUUCUAUUCAUGU